GGUUAAGCGACUAAGCGUACACGGUGGAUGCCCUGGCAGUCAGAGGCGAUGAAGGGCGUGCUAAUCUGCGAUAAGCGCCGGUAAGGUGAUAUGAACCGUUAUAACCGGCGAUACCCGAAUGGGGAAACCCAGUGUGAUUCGUCACACUAUCAUUAACUGAAUCCAUAGGUUAAUGAGGCGAACCGGGGGAACUGAAACAUCUAAGUACCCCGAGGAAAAGAAAUCAACCGAGAUUCCCCCAGUAGCGGCGAGCGAACGGGGAGGAGCCCAGAGCCUGAAUCAGCAUGUGUGUUAGUGGAAGCGUCUGGAAAGGCGCGCGAUACAGGGUGACAGCCCCGUACACAAAAGCGCAUGUGCUGUGAGCUCGAUGAGUAGGGCGGGACACGUGGUAUCCUGUCUGAAUAUGGGGGGACCAUCCUCCAAGGCUAAAUACUCCUGACUGACCGAUAGUGAACCAGUACCGUGAGGGAAAGGCGAAAAGAACCCCGGCGAGGGGAGUGAAAAAGAACCUGAAACCGUGUACGUACAAGCAGUGGGAGCCCCACCACUAAGCCAGUGGUGAACUCCACAUCCGCAUCCUUUGCUGAGGAUACGGUUAACGGAGCGAAAGCGACGUUCAACCGCAAAACAAGCAGAGGGGGCUUAGUGGUGGGGUGACUGCGUACCUUUUGUAUAAUGGGUCAGCGACUUAUAUUCUGUAGCAAGGUUAACCGAAUAGGGGAGCCGGAGGGAAACCGAGUCUUAAUUGGGCGUUAAGUUGCAGGGUAUAGACCCGAAACCCGGUGAUCUAGCCAUGGGCAGGUUGAAGGUUGGGUAACACUAACUGGAGGACCGAACCGACUAAUGUUGAAAAAUUAGCGGAUGACCUGUGGCUGGGGGUGAAAGGCCAAUCAAACCGGGAGAUAGCUGGUUCUCCCCGAAAGCUAUUUAGGUAGCGCCUCGUGAAUUCAUCUCCGGGGGUAGAGCACUGUUUCGGCUAGGGGGCCAUCCCGGCUUACCAACCCGAUGCAAACUGCGAAUACCGGAGAAUGUUAUCACGGGAGACACACGGCGGGUGCUAACGUCCGUCGUGAAGAGGGAAACAACCCAGACCGCCAGCUAAGGUCCCAAAGUCAUGGUUAAGUGGGAAACGAUGUGGGAAGGCCCAGACAGCCAGGAUGUUGGCUUAGAAGCAGCCAUCAUUUAAAGAAAGCGUAAUAGCUCACUGGUCGAGUCGGCCUGCGCGGAAGAUGUAACGGGGCUAAACCAUGCACCGAAGCUGCGGCAGCGAACGUAUCACCCAAGACAACUUUACGGAGUUGACGAUUGACGGAGCGAAGCGACGUCAAAGCGUUCAUUAAAGUCGAGUUGGCUUAGGGAUACGUUCGUUGGGUAGGGGAGCGUUCUGUAAGCCUGUGAAGGUGUGUCGUGAGGCAUGCUGGAGGUAUCAGAAGUGCGAAUGCUGACAUAAGUAACGAUAAAGCGGGUGAAAAGCCCGCUCGCCGGAAGACCAAGGGUUCCUGUCCAACGUUAAUCGGGGCAGGGUGAGUCGACCCCUAAGGCGAGGCCGAAAGGCGUAGUCGAUGGGAAACGGGUUAAUAUUCCCGUACUUGGUGUUACUGCGAAGGGGGGACGGAGAAGGCUAUGUUGGCCGGGCGACGGUUGUCCCGGUUUAAGCGUGUAGGUGUGUGUUCCAGGUAAAUCCGGUUCACUUUAACACUGAGGCGUGACGACGAGGCACUACGGUGCUGAAGCAACAAAUGCCCUGCUUCCAGGAAAAGCCUCUAAGCAUCAGGUAACAUCAAAUCGUACCCCAAACCGACACAGGUGGUCAGGUAGAGAAUACCAAGGCGCUUGAGAGAACUCGGGUGAAGGAACUAGGCAAAAUGGUGCCGUAACUUCGGGAGAAGGCACGCUGACACGUAGGUGAAGUGAUUUACUCAUGGAGCUGAAGUCAGUCGAAGAUACCAGCUGGCUGCAACUGUUUAUUAAAAACACAGCACUGUGCAAACACGAAAGUGGACGUAUACGGUGUGACGCCUGCCCGGUGCCGGAAGGUUAAUUGAUGGGGUCAGCGCAAGCGAAGCUCCUGAUCGAAGCCCCGGUAAACGGCGGCCGUAACUAUAACGGUCCUAAGGUAGCGAAAUUCCUUGUCGGGUAAGUUCCGACCUGCACGAAUGGCGUAAUGAUGGCCAGGCUGUCUCCACCCGAGACUCAGUGAAAUUGAACUCGCUGUGAAGAUGCAGUGUACCCGCGGCAAGACGGAAAGACCCCGUGAACCUUUACUAUAGCUUGACACUGAACAUUGAGCCUUGAUGUGUAGGAUAGGUGGGAGGCUUUGAAGUGUGGACGCCAGUCUGCAUGGAGCCGACCUUGAAAUACCACCCUUUAAUGUUUGAUGUUCUAACGUGGACCCGUUACCCGGGUUGCGGACAGUGUCUGGUGGGUAGUUUGACUGGGGCGGUCUCCUCCUAAAGAGUAACGGAGGAGCACGAAGGUUGGCUAAUCCUGGUCGGACAUCAGGAGGUUAGUGCAAUGGCAUAAGCCAGCUUGACUGCGAGCGUGACGGCGCGAGCAGGUGCGAAAGCAGGUCAUAGUGAUCCGGUGGUUCUGAAUGGAAGGGCCAUCGCUCAACGGAUAAAAGGUACUCCGGGGAUAACAGGCUGAUACCGCCCAAGAGUUCAUAUCGACGGCGGUGUUUGGCACCUCGAUGUCGGCUCAUCACAUCCUGGGGCUGAAGUAGGUCCCAAGGGUAUGGCUGUUCGCCAUUUAAAGUGGUACGCGAGCUGGGUUUAGAACGUCGUGAGACAGUUCGGUCCCUAUCUGCCGUGGGCGCUGGAGAACUGAGGGGGGCUGCUCCUAGUACGAGAGGACCGGAGUGGACGCAUCACUGGUGUUCGGGUUGUCAUGCCAAUGGCACUGCCCGGUAGCUAAAUGCGGAAGAGAUAAGUGCUGAAAGCAUCUAAGCACGAAACUUGCCCCGAGAUGAGUUCUCCCUGAGACUUAGAGUCUCCUGAAGGAACGUUGAAGACGACGACGUUGAUAGGCCGGGUGUGUAAGCGCAGCGAUGCGUUGAGCUAACCGGUACUAAUGAACCGUGAGGCUUAACCUUACAACGCCGAAGAUGUUUUG
rnacentral:rRNA from 1 species